CCUACGGGAGGCAGCAGUAGGGAAUCUUCCACAAUGGGCGAAAGCCUGAUGGAGCAACGCCGCGUGGGUGAAGAAGGUCUUCGGAUCGUAAAACCCUGUUGUUAGAGAAGAAAGUGCGUGAGAGUAACUGUUCACGUUUCGACGGUAUCUAACCAGAACGCCACGGCUAACUACGUGCCAGCAGCCGCGGUAAUACGUAGGUGGCAAGCGUUAUCCGGAUUGAUUGGGCGUAAAGGGAACGCAGGCGGUCUUUUAAGUCUGAUGUGAAAGCCUUCGGCUUAACCGGAGUAGUGCAUUGGAAACUGGGAGACUUGAGUGCAGAAGAGGAGAGUGGAACUCCAUGUGUAGCGGUGAAAUGCGUAGAUAUAUGGAAGAACACCAGUGGCGAAAGCGGCUCUCUGGUCUGUAACUGACGCUGAGGUUCGAAAGCGUGGGUAGCAAACAGGAUUAGAUACCCUAGUAGUC
rnacentral:rRNA from 1 species